rnacentral:lncRNA from 1 species
AUUACAAAAGUUUGCAGCAUAUGUUGUGUAAAUGGUGAACUCAUACAGCUGUCAACUCUUGUCACUGCAAUCCGUUUCACAUUUGCUAGCUACCUUUUAGAUCGAAGCCCAUAUAGAAUGAUAGAAGAUAAGAUGAUAGAAGGCCAUCUCCUACUGUAAAUAACCUACGUACUGUGUGUGUGUAGCCAACCAGGUAGAAAAAUGGCAGAAAAAUGACAGACAUCAGAGUAUUUUUCAGUACACCAAAACGCAAAGUAAGAACCCUAGUAGCCUAAUAUCUCAAAGACUAGUUGAUAAAAUGUUCAUAAGAAAGAAAUGAAAUUCUAAUGGAAAUGUUUCACAAUGAUGUCAUUAGGCAGAGCAGGCAACAGAUGGCACACAGACAGCAGAGUUGGGGACAGAUAUGCAGGGACAGACUGGCAGAGACAGGGAGUCUCAGGCGACUUGUACUGAGGAUGUGCAAAUACCCAGGCAUCCAGAGAGCACUAUGUACAGUAUCAGCUCCUAACACCACAUCCGGGCAGAUAUUGAUGUAAUAUAUCUAUUUAUUGAUACUUCCUAUCCUCAGAGCUCAUUUUGCGUAACUGAACCUGACGUAACUGAACCUAGUAUACAGUAGCUCGCUUUUCAUAGCUGAAUGAGCACUACCAUUAUCAUGUUGAGAUGAAGUUCCAUAUUAAUAUCACUCAUCCAAGCCAUUUAACAAAAAACAAAGAUUUCCUGUAACAGACCAGAAUAUAAUCAACCUAUUAAAUAACUUAUUGACUACUAAAGUAUGGCUGUUUCACAUGCAAGGUGUUGAAUGUACAAGAACACUGGUAAUACUGUAUGCUGAGUUUUUUUGUUGUUGUAAAGCAUAUCACCCUUAAAGUGGAACAAGGGGUUAAUCGCAGUCAAUACACCUACGUAAACCCUACUCACAGUACGGAGCCUACUCCGACUCACAAUCACAGGCUUAUAUUUUAUGCUGUAAUAAAAGUGUUGCAAUUUCCAUGUUAAAAUAAAUGUC